rnacentral:rRNA from 1 species
UACAGAGGGUGCGAGCGUUAAUCGGAAUUACUGGGCGUAAAGGGUGCGUAGGUGGUUUGAUAAGUUAGGUGUGAAAGUCCCGGGCUUAACCUGGGGAUUGCGCCUGAUACUGUCAGACUAGAGUACUGUAGAGGAAAGUGGAAUUUCCGGUGUAGCGGUGAAAUGCGUAGAUAUCGGAAGGAACACCAGUGGCGAAGGCGACUUUCUGGACAGAUACUGACACUGAGGCACGAAAGCAUGGGGAGCAAACAGG